AAAAGUAGUUUAUCUGAUAUACGUAAUGUUUGGCCAGGUGUAUAAAGUUCUUAAAGAUCUGAGAGGUAAACAGGAGCUAAAUUAUUUAAACAUUUAAAAUUUUCAGUUUGUUACCAUACCAUACAUGGGCAGCACUUCCAACACCAAUAAUAACAUGUCCGCUUGAUCAGCGGUUGUGGAACCACGUAAAAGGUUGUCCCGAAAACAUAAAUGCAUGGCACCCAAAACUGACGUACAGACCUAUAUAUUGGAACAACUGUUACGCAAAUAUGGAAUUUUACGUCACAGAAAAGUGGGAUUCAUUUACGAUAACAUUGGAGGUCAAUCCUGAAAGCGAAUCGGGUAUUAUAAUGGCCUAUAGUGACGAUAUGGGUAUUGUUGAAUUUACCGUUGAAUUGAUAAGUGGCACAUUGUGUGUGUUACUAAAACAUGCCUAUAUGAUCGGUGGUAAUCUUCUCACCAACUCGUGGACAAGUCUAGCUAUCAGCUAUAAUUCACAAUCAGGUAUAUUCUAUCUGUACGCCAAUGGUUACCUGAUGGAUAGCAUCAGUUAUGGUCACAAUGACAUGUACUUGCUGAAUGAUGGUACUCUUCAACUAGGAAAUGACGCGUACGAAGAUGGAAUUGAUCACUUUAAAGGGAUGUUAGCAUGUUUAUCUUUUUACAACGUGUCGGUGGUACCUACCUUUGACAGAUACAAAAUGAUGCAUAAUGAAGCACUGAAAAUGUGUAACCAGGAUACAAUUACGACAACACUGUUCGGAUAUUACAACUACCUAGAAACAACGACAACUAGCAGACCGUUUUACUGGCUAUCAACAAGUUAUGACAUCAUGGUUUCUAACAACAAGGUAAAAACAACAACUGGUCAACCGAGACAACCACCAUCCAGUCUUUCUAACGGAAUGUCUUACUUUUUAAUAGUUGGCCUUACUGUUAUUGCUGUCAGUCUAUCGGUGAUCAUUGGUCUCUUGGUCCUCCUUAGGUGGCAAAAAAUGAAAACCAAGAGAGACAAGGCUGUGACAUCAUCAGAGCAUGAACACCGAAGUCACAA